rnacentral:sRNA from 1 species
AUUUUUUUUGCAAAUUGUAUCUAUUUAUAAUAUAUUUUUAUUUUAUAGUUUACAAUUGUUAUUAAGUAACGUCCUGCCAAACCCGUCCCGCCAAAUCCGUCCCGUAAAAAAACCAUUUAUUUAUAUUAAUGUUGAUCUUAUUAAAGAUAUGUUUAUAAAUCAUUGUCUAAAUAUUUUUGUCGAUGCGGGACGUUGAACCCACACAUUUUUUGCUAAUUGGUUAAUAUAUGUUCAUUUUUAAAAUUUUGAAUCAUAAAAUAUGACGGAAAAAUUAAGAUUUUUUUAAACUCUAUAUAUUAUAUAAUGAUGUUAAAAAAUUGUAAUAUAUCAAACUUUUUAUAAGUUUAAAUAUUAAUAAU